rnacentral:snoRNA from 1 species
GUGAAGAAGACCCCGAUCGCCGAAAAAUGACGAGUGGUAUUAACGCUGA